rnacentral:RNase_P_RNA from 1 species
UGAGCAGGACAGAUGGUCGCUGCCGUAAGUGCCGAAAGGCCGCGGGAGAGGAAAGUCCGGGCUUCGCAGGGCAGGAUGCCAGAUAACGUCUGGUGGAGGUGACUCCCAGGACAGUGCAACAGAAAUAAACCGCCAUGAUUUCAUGGUAAGGGUGGAAAGGCAGUGUAAGAGACUACCGCCCGCGUGGUAACAGGCGGGGCACAUGUAAACCCCAUCCGGAGAAAGACCGAACAGAGAACAUAUGGCGGCCCGUCAGUUCUCGGGCAGGUCGAUUGAGCCUGGUGGCGACAUCAGGUCUAGAUAGAUGACCAUCCAAUGACAUAACCCGGCUUACCGUUCGGCUCAGAAC